GGGGGUAUAGCUCAGCUGGGAGAGCAGCAGACUGAAGUAUUCUUGGAUUACCAUACCAAAGUUCUGAAGGUCCCGCGUUCGAUCCGCGGUACCCCCA